rnacentral:lncRNA from 1 species
UUCUCGAAUCUUCCUAAUGUUGUGUAGGCGGCGAGCGGGAAGCGCGCGGCGAGUUUUCGCUGCACGUGGUGUCGGCGUGCGCGGCGCCGGUAACAGUGCGGCUGCGCGCGCGCAUCGCCCGCGACUGGCUGCUGCCCUUCGAUUACUCUAUAUCCUUCACCGCUUCACUGACCGCACCACAGGUGCACCACUACCGUUUCUUGGAGGAACAAGGGAGCGUGCGACUACAGAUCACCGCCGAUGACGACGUGUGCGCGAUUGUCGCGGUGCAGAACUAUUCGUGUCCCAUAUUGGAAAUGGUGUCCGACAUAGAAGGUUCCACUGUACGGAUGACUAUGCAACGUUCCGGCGCAGUGCAGGUCUCGGUAUGAAUAAAUCUAUUUA